UUGGUUCGGGUUAAGCUCCAACAUCCAGCAGUUGGACAAAGAUCAUCAUCAUAUCAUCAUCAUCAUGACAACAACAACAUUAAUACUUAUUAUGGUCGCCUUACGUCGUCCGGUGGUUAUAAUAAUAAUAAUUAUUAUGAUACUAAUUCAUACGGUUAUGGGAUCAACGAGAGAAGGCCGCCAUUAUUGGGUAAUUACGAUCAUGAGCCGCCUUCUAAUUACUAUUAUCCAUGCCCAAAUGACG
rnacentral:lncRNA from 1 species